ACAGUGGACGCGAGCAUCUUUGUUGUAAGUGUUUAAGAGCGUACGGUGGAUGCCUUGGCACCAGGAGCCGAUGAAGGACGUAGGAGGCUGCGAUAAGCCUCGGGGAGCUGUCAACCGAGCUGAGAUCCGAGGAUGUCCGAAUGGGGAAACCCAGCCACAGUGAUGUGUGGUUACCCGCGCCUGAAUAUAUAGGGCGUGUGGAGGGAACGUGGGGAAGUGAAACAUCUCAGUACCCACAGGAAGAGAAAACAACAUGUGAUUCCGUGAGUAGUGGCGAGCGAAAGCGGAAGAGGCUAAACCAUGGGUGUGUGAUAGCCGGCGGGCGUUGCAUUCGUGGGGUUGUGGGAUCCGUCUUGUCAAUUCUGCCGGAUUGGCCGACAGUGAGAAAUCAUCGUGUUAGUCGAAGUGGUCUGGAACGGCCUGUCGUAGAGGGUGAGAGUCCCGUAGACGAAAACAUGGUGACUGUCGUGACGGACACCCGAGUAGCAGCGGGCCCGUGAAAUCUGCUGUGAAUCUGUCGGGACCACCCGAUAAGCCUGAAUACUCCCUGGUGACCGAUAGCGGACUAGUACCGUGAGGGAAAGGUGAAAAGUACCCCGGGAGGGGAGUGAAAUAGUACCUGAAACCGUGCGCUUACAAUCCGUCAGAGCCUGCGCCACUUUUGGUGGGUGGGUGAUGGCGUGCCUUUUGAAGAAUGAGCCUGCGAGUUAGCGGCAUGUCGCGAGGUUAACCCGUGUGGGGUAGCCGUAGCGAAAGCGAGUCCGAAUAGGGCGUUUGUAGUGGCAUGUUCUAGACCCGAAGCGGAGUGAUCUACCCAUGGCCAGGGUGAAGCGACGGUAAGACGUCGUGGAGGCCCGAACCCACUUAGGUUGAAAACUGAGGGGAUGAGCUGUGGGUAGGGGUGAAAGGCCAAUCAAACUCCGUGAUAGCUGGUUCUCCCCGAAAUGCAUUAGGUGCAGCGUCGCGUGUUUCACUCUGGAGGUAGAGCUACUGGAUGGCCGAUGGGCCCACAAGGUUACUGACGUCAGCCAAACUCCGAAUGCCAGAGUGUGAGAGCGCGGCAGUGAGACUGCGGGGGAUAAGCUUCGUAGUCGAGAGGGAAACAGCCCAGGAUUCGCCGGCUAAGGCCCCUAAGCGUGUACUAAGUGGAAAAGGAUGUGGGUCGCGA
rnacentral:rRNA from 1 species